GUAAGAAAACACAAGUUACAGGGACUUAAAUGAGUCCGAAAGGUUCUGCCUUCUAAUACGCAGUUCGUCACUCUGUAGUCAAUGAUAUGAAUGGACUUCAACAACUGUUCUAUGGGUUCAACCAGGUGAUGUAGUGAGAGAAAGAGCUGUUCUAUGGGUUCAACCAGGUGAUAGUUGAGAGAAAGAGCUGUUCUAUGGGUUCAACCAGGUGAUAGUUGAGAGAAAUAGCUGUUCUAUGGGUUCAACCAAGUGAUAGUUGAGAGAAAUAGCUGUUCUAUGGGUUCAACCAGGUGAUAGUUGAGAGAAAGAGCUGUUCUAUGGGUUCAACCAGGUGAUAGUUGAGAGAAAGAGCUGUUCUAUGGGUUCAACCAGGUGAUGUAGUGAGAGAAAGAGCUGUUCUAUGGGGUUCAACCAGGUAAUAGUUGAGAGAAAUAGCUGUUCUAUGGGUUCAAUCAGGUGAUAGUUGAGAGAAAGAGCUGUUCUAUGGGUUCAACCAGGUGAUAGUUGAGAGAAAGAGCUGUUCUAUGGGGUUCAACCAGGUGAUAGUUGAGAGAAAGAGCUGUUCUAUGGGGUUCAACCAGGUGAUAGUUGAGAGAAAGAGCUGUUCUAUGGGUUCAACCAGGUGAUAGUUGAGAGAAAGAGCUGUUCUAUGGGUUCAACCAGGUGAUGUAGUGAGAGAAAGAGCUGUUCUAUGGGUUCAACCAGGUGAUGUAGUGAGAGAAAGAGCUUUUCUAUGGGUUCAACCAGGUGAUGUAGUGAGAGAAAGCGCUGUUCUAUGGGUUCAACCAGGUGAUGUGGUGAGAGAAAGAGCUGUUCUAUGGGUUCAACCAGGUGAUAGUUGAGAGAAAGAGCUGUUCUAUGGGUUCAACCAGGUGAUAGUUGAGGAAAAAGGGCUGUUCUAUGGGUUCAACCAGGUGAUGUAGUUAGAUAAAGAGCUGUUCUAUGGGUUCAACCAGGUGAUAGUUGAGAGAAAGAGCUGUUCUGUGGGUUCAACCAGGUGAUAGUUGAGAGAAAGAGCUGUUCAACCAGGUGAUAGUUGAGAGAAAGAGCUGUUCUAUUGGGUUCAACCAGGUGAUAGUUGAGAGAAAGAGCUGUUCUAUGGGUUCAACCAGGUGAUGUAGUGAGAGAAAGAGCUGUUCUAUGGGUUCAACCAGGUGAUAGUUGAGAGAAAGAGCUGUUCUAUGGGUUCAACCAAGUGAUAGUUGAGAGAAAGAGCUGUUCUAUGGGUUCAACCAGGUGAUGUAGUGAGAGAAAGAGCUGUUCUAUGGGUUCAACCAGGUGAUGUAGUGAGAGAAAGAGAUGUUCAAAUGUGGACCUAGAAGGCAGAGACAAGCCAACCCCCGAUAUCAUUUGGGGGCCUUUAAGGGGGUACAUUAGGGGAGAGAUAGUCCAACCCCCGAUAUCAUUUGGGAGGCCUUUAAGGGGGUACAUUAGGGGAGAGAUAAUCCAACCCCCGUUAUCAUUAGGGGAGGCCUUUAAGGGGGUACAUUAGGGGAGAGAUAAUCCAACCCCCGUUAUCAUUAGGGGAGGCCUUUAAGGGGGUACAUUAGGGGAGAGAUAAUCUCAUACUCAACUAAAGUUACAUCUGAUUUAGAAAUUUAAAUGAAAUAAAAAGACCAAAUAAAUCACUAUUUUAACAAAAAUCUUUACAAGGUUAAGAAGAAAAUUAUAUUUCGGGAAUUUAAGCAGGAAUACGAGCUUUUCCUUUUCAAGAGACAAC
rnacentral:lncRNA from 1 species